GACAGAGGGUGCAAACGUUGUUCGGAAUUACUGGGUUUAAAGGGUGCGUAGGCGGGCAGGUAAGUCCGUGGUGAAAUCUCUGAGCUUAACUCAGAAACUGCCAUGGAUACUAUUUGUCUUGAAUAUUGUGGAGGUAAGCGGAAUAUGUCAUGUAGCGGUGAAAUGCUUAGAUAUGACAUAGAACACCAAAUUGCGAAGGCAGCUUACUACACAGUUAUUGACGCUGAGGCACGAAAGCGUGGGGAUCAAACAGG
rnacentral:rRNA from 1 species